ACACAUGCAAGUCGAGCGGUAGCACAGAGAGCUUGCUCUCGGGUGACGAGCGGCGGACGGGUGAGUAAUGUCUGGGAAACUGCCUGAUGGAGGGGGAUAACUACUGGAAACGGUAGCUAAUACCGCAUAAUGUCGCAAGACCAAAGUGGGGGACCUUCGGGCCUCAUGCCAUCAGAUGUGCCCAGAUGGGAUUAGCUAGUAGGUGGGGUAACGGCUCACCUAGGCGACGAUCCCUAGCUGGUCUGAGAGGAUGACCAGCCACACUGGAACUGAGACACGGUCCAGACUCCUACGGGAGGCAGCAGUGGGGAAUAUUGCACAAUGGGCGCAAGCCUGAUGCAGCCAUGCCGCGUGUGUGAAGAAGGCCUUCGGGUUGUAAAGCACUUUCAGCGGGGAGGAAGGCGGUGAGGUUAAUAACCUUGUCGAUUGACGUUACCCGCAGAAGAAGCACCGGCUAACUCCGUGCCAGCAGCCGCGGUAAUACGGAGGGUGCAAGCGUUAAUCGGAAUUACUGGGCGUAAAGCGCACGCAGGCGGUCUGUCAAGUCGGAUGUGAAAUCCCCGGGCUCAACCUGGGAACUGCAUUCGAAACUGGCAGGCUAGAGUCUUGUAGAGGGGGGUAGAAUUCCAGGUGUAGCGGUGAAAUGCGUAGAGAUCUGGAGGAAUACCGGUGGCGAAGGCGGCCCCCUGGACAAAGACUGACGCUCAGGUGCGAAAGCGUGGGGAGCAAACAGGAUUAGAUACCCUGGUAGUCCACGCCGUAAACGAUGUCGAUUUGGAGGUUGUGCCCUUGAGGCGUGGCUUCCGGAGCUAACGCGUUAAAUCGACCGCCUGGGGAGUACGGCCGCAAGGUUAAAACUCAAAUGAAUUGACGGGGGCCCGCACAAGCGGUGGAGCAUGUGGUUUAAUUCGAUGCAACGCGAAGAACCUUACCUGGUCUUGACAUCCACAGAACUUUCCAGAGAUGGAUUGGUGCCUUCGGGAACUGUGAGACAGGUGCUGCAUGGCUGUCGUCAGCUCGUGUUGUGAAAUGUUGGGUUAAGUCCCGCAACGAGCGCAACCCUUAUCCUUUGUUGCCAGCGGUUCGGCCGGGAACUCAAAGGAGACUGCCAGUGAUAAACUGGAGGAAGGUGGGGAUGACGUCAAGUCAUCAUGGCCCUUACGACCAGGGCUACACACGUGCUACAAUGGCAUAUACAAAGAGAAGCGACCUCGCGAGAGCAAGCGGACCUCAUAAAGUAUGUCGUAGUCCGGAUUGGAGUCUGCAACUCGACUCCAUGAAGUCGGAAUCGCUAGUAAUCGUAGAUCAGAAUGCUACGGUGAAUACGUUCCCGGGCCUUGUACACACCGCCCGUCACACCAUGGGAGUGGGUUGCAAAAGAAGUAGGUAGCUUAACCUUCGGGAGGGCGCUACC
rnacentral:rRNA from 1 species